rnacentral:rRNA from 1 species
CCAUCGGGCUUUGCUUGGUGGUGAGAGUGGCGAACGGGUGAGUAAUGCGUGACCGACCUGCCCCAUACACCGGAAUAGCUCCUGGAAACGGGUGGUAAUGCCGGAUGUUCCAGUUGAUCGCAUGGUCUUCUGGGAAAGCUUUCGCGGUAUGGGAUGGGGUCGCGUCCUAUCAGCUUGACGGCGGGGUAACGGCCCACCGUGGCUUCGACGGGUAGCCGGCCUGAGAGGGCGACCGGCCACAUUGGGACUGAGAUACGGCCCAGACUCCUACGGGAGGCAGCAGUGGGGAAUAUUGCACAAUGGGCGCAAGCCUGAUGCAGCGACGCCGCGUGAGGGAUGGAGGCCUUCGGGUUGUAAACCUCUUUUAUCGGGGAGCAAGCGUGAGUGAGUUUACCCGUUGAAUAAGCACCGGCUAACUACGUGCCAGCAGCCGCGGUAAUACGUAGGGUGCAAGCGUUAUCCGGAAUUAUUGGGCGUAAAGGGCUCGUAGGCGGUUCGUCGCGUCCGGUGUGAAAGUCCAUCGCUUAACGGUGGAUCCGCGCCGGGUACGGGCGGGCUUGAGUGCGGUAGGGGAGACUGGAAUUCCCGGUGUAACGGUGGAAUGUGUAGAUAUCGGGAAGAACACCAAUGGCGAAGGCAGGUCUCUGGGCCGUUACUG